UACGUAGGGGGCAAGCGUUGUCCGGAUUUAUUGGGCGUAAAGAGCGUGUAGGCGGUUUGGUAGGUCCGCUGUGAAAACUCGAGGCUCAACCUCGAGACGCCGGUGGAAACCAUCAGGCUAGAGUCCGGAAGAGGAGAGUGGAAUUCCCGGUGUAGCAGUGAAAUGCGUAGAGAUCGGGAGGAACACCAGUGGCGAAGGCGGCCUUCUGGGCCAAUACUGACGCUCAUGCACGAAAGCGUGGGGAGCAAACAGG
rnacentral:rRNA from 1 species